GGUCUAACCGGAGGUGAAUUGAAUGAGUGAUGAAAAGAUGGAAUGAGAGGAUGAGGCAUAGUUUGUGAAGAGCUUGAGUUUAUGAACUGAAAAUGGUUGAAUUGUAUUCUUGGAUCAUUUUCAACUGGAUUGUUCAUAAAAGGAGUACUACUCAAAUGUGAUGAUGAUGGUGUAGUAGAAGAAGAAGAAGGACCAAACAAUAAUUGUGAAUUUGCAAAAGGAAAUGGGAAGUGUAAACCAUUUCCAUUACUUUGAUUUGGAUCUACUUGUUGAUGAUGAGAUUGGAACAAUCCAUUACUACUUCCAAAUUGAGAUAAAGACAAACUAGAAGCUUCUGAAUGGUAGUUGUUAUAUGACAUAGCAUUGU
rnacentral:lncRNA from 1 species